rnacentral:rRNA from 1 species
CCCUUAGAUGUUCUGGACCGCACGCGCGCUACACUGAACAGUUCAACAAGUCUUAACCUUGGCCGAUAGGUCUGGGUAAUCUUUGAACGCUGUUCGUGAUUGGGAUAGACCUUUGCAAUUAUGGGUCUUCAACGAGGAAUUCCUAGUAAACGCAAGUCAUCAGCUUGCAUUGAUUACGUCCCUGCCCUUUGUACACACCGCCCGUCGCACCUACCGAUUGAAUGGUCCGGUGAAAUCUCGGGACGGCGGCUUGGUCGCUUGCGUCCGACUGCUGAAACUUGAUUAAACCAUAUCAUUUAGAGGAAGGUGAAGUCGUAACA